GCAGAAAUCUGAAGGAGAAACAGCAUUGGAAAGUCCAAGCAAGAACAUCCGCUGUCAGCAUCCCAUAAUUUGGUAUUGAGGAUUGUAGUCAGGCUUUACUUUCAUCUAGUUUUUGUUUCUGAUUGUAACAAAAGAGUUAAGGAAGCUCACUGAAGGUCACUAACAGCUUUGGGAGGAUGUCUCUUGGUGUCUUGCAUGCUCCAUCUGGGUUGCAGCCUUUAUUCCACCUACUUAAUGGAUGACAAGAUUGCUGGGGCCAAGUGUUUUUCAUAAAGACACCCAGGUUGCAGGCAGAGUAAAAUACACCCCAGGUCACAUAAUUCAUUCUGUGUUCAAGAAUCUUCCCUCAUGCUUGGUGCCCUUUGGGAACUGUUUCAGAGGCAUUCCAGCUGAAGAAUCAUGCCAGUGCACUGGUUAUCAAUUCUUUCCUUGAUCCUUUAGCAAAUCCUCAGGCUGAGUUUUCUGCCCUCCUGAGACACAAGUCCCAAAGCUGACCUUAGCCACUUUGGUAUCUCCUCUCCAGUCCCAAGGUACACAAAAGACCAGCUCAGGGCUCACGAUUUAUUGUUUUCCCAUGCAGGUCACACUCAAGCUCAGACAGAUAGAGAGGAUCUGCCUUUAAUGAGCAAAUGCACCAUUACUUGGUCAUAAAUUCAACUUAAUGGUAAUUUUAGUAGGGCAGCUUGCCCAGGGUUUGUAGAAACACAAAUCAAAAGUCCCAAAUUCCAGGCAUAUCCUCCUAGAAACUUUUUUGGCAACUCCAUUCCAUUUGCUCCUUAAGGAAAUCAAUUUUUGUAGUUAUGGUUCCUAGGUACUUAGGGUAGAUUUGCACAAAGUCUGGAAUCACUGUGGUAGCAAAGAGGGGGAGCGGAUGGCAUACUGCUGGAAUUAAUUUUGCCAAGCCUUGGGCCUUGACUUUGGUCGACAAGGAGGCACAAAUGAGCUGCCACACAGAUUCGGAAUACAGCCCAACAAAAGUAUUUGAGGCUGAAAACUCUUCAAAGCAGAGAGAGCACAGGAGGACAGCAUGCAUUGAUCAUUUUUUGUACAUUGUCAGGGUUGGCCAGAAUGCUCUAUGAAUUCACCGAUUUUAUGUCAGGUCAUUCCACCUGAUCAAAGAAGCAUUUUCCCCCAUACUUGAGGAUUCUAAGAAGAAUGUGAAAUGAAAAACAUCCUGUUUCUUUCACGUUGCCAAAUCCCAUUCAGACAUGAAAUACUAUUUUCCAUUUUGCUUCAAGCACUGGCAAAUCUCUAGGAUAAGAUUUCAAUAAUUGACUCAUAGUAA